ACUUCUGAAAAUUCCAUGGACUUGCAGCCCCUCUCCAUGGUGCUCAUACAGGAGUAGGACCUGCAGAGCUGCUCUCCAAAGUGAGGCUGCGGAAAGGGAAACUUUUGUUCCCAUAGAAGAGAGUGGUGGUAAGAGAUGGCCGUUUUCCCACCAUCCCUGCAAAGUGAAUUUUGCUGAACAGCUUUCUGUUGCUGGAGGAAUGGAAAAUUACACAAAACCCAGUGAGUGGUUUUGGGUUUAGUGUUCUGCUUAUCCUGUGGAGGGGGAAACACAUUGUUCCAUGUGCAUAGAAAGGGAGUUGGGCUUACUCAUUGCAGUGAAGGCAGAAGGGAGAGUGCCAUGAAUUUUGAUAGCUGUAUUGAAAUGUAACAAAUUGCAUGGGUAAAACACACUUUUCCUAAACUUUCGCUUUGUACAGGUUUAUACAAGUGCAUCUAAGCUGUUUAGAAAGGCCUUUCAUUUUGUGAACCAUGUAAAGCCCAUCUUCUGUCAGGGUGCAACAGUCAAAGCUGAUGCAUUUGUAGGCCUGUUGGUGCUGCUGUUUGUUAACUUCAGUGCCUGAGUCUGGUGCAGACUUCGCAAUGGAGAGAAACAAGGUUGCUGUUCAUUCUGAGUAAUGGGAAAGGGAGAAAUGAAAGAAUCUGCCCCAUAGGUACCAGCUAGCCAGACCUCUGGCACCUAGUCCCAUACAAAGUUUUCUCCUGUGGUACCUACUGCCCCAAAGUCCUGUAUAGCAUUGAUCUAAUGCAAAAGAACAGAAACCCAAAUCUGUCUACCUUAUUUUUGUGUAAUCUGAGAGAAACCCAGAUGCUUUGAGAUAGGUAAAUUAAAGUUUAGAGUGAUCUCAGUUAGUACUUGUAACCUUAACCUUGUAUUUUUGUUAUGGAAUUUUAAUCUGACAAUCUGACUGAAUUUCUCAGCAGAGUUUUUAGAAAUAUGUCAUUGUUUCACUUUGCUCCAUGGUGAAGGUCGGUGUCUCUCAGGGACUGCUGACAUUUUGCUGACAUUUCAUCAUGUUUGGCCCUACUACAGUGGUACCAGAGGUAAGUGAUUGAAGCUAGAGAGGUGUAUUGUAGGGAGAAUGCUUAUUUACCCUCUAGACUGAGCUGCACUCUGCUUCCUAGUGGCUCUGUGGUGGUACUUCCAUCUUGUAAAAUGCCCUGAUGUGUUUGCUACAGGUUACGAAUUGCAUGAGUGUGGUAGCUGUGACCAUGGUUUUUUCUUGUCAAGAAGAAGGAAAGAUGUCCCUGCUCUAGUGAAUGAAUAUAUAGACACUGGAGAUUUCAGAUGGUAAUGGGAUGCCACAAGGUCAUUUAACAGUCCUGAAAUGUGUAUUUUUCCCACAGAGUGCAAAAGGCUGUGUGCAAGCAGUCUUUGCUUGCUGUAAUUUUAGUAGAAGAUAGGACACCUUUCCAAAGGUCUGGGUCUCUACAGAGGCUCUAUAUUGUUAGGCAUUUUUUUUAACGUUCAUGCACACAUGAUACCUCUGUUUCCAGAAGAGCUGAUGGUGGUGGUAAGUGAAGCUGUGCUCCAUCAGGGAUAAGCCUUUUUAUGAGUAUUUUGAGCUUGGCUGGCUGUAGGGCUGCAGCUUCAUGGGUAUGAAGGUCGGAAGUGGUGCUGUCUUGCCUCCAGACUCUUUCAGAAGAUGCUAUUUAUCUCAGCCCUAAUGUUUCAGUCACUGUCUUAUGAUUAGCAGUCCUAAGGCUGAUUUGCGCUGAUGCAAUAAGUAACAUCUUGGUGUUUCAUUGUCACCUUCACAGCUGUUAGAGAGCACCAGUUCCUACAGGAUCAGCUGCCAGCUGUGAUGCUAUACCUUUUACAUCAUGACUGAGAUGACACCUCUCCUUGCUGGCAGACAAGCCAGGUGGGUAGGCAUUACUCCUUAGAGCUGUCCUUCACUUAAGGAGGCACAGACUAUUGCCUGGUUUAGCAUAACGGAAAUCAAGGACAAGGGUAGUGUUGUAAAUAAGGGGCAAAGCAGAGGGCUGUGUCCUAUCCUAGCUCUGCUACAGCUGCGGAAAGCAACCUUGAGUACAUCAGCUCCUCUGCAGAUGCAUUUCCAAGGACAGCCUCUCUCUUGUGUGCUGACUUUGUGGCAGAGGUUUAUACAGUGCUUUGCUCUCCCGGUGGGGCAGAGGUUCAUUGCUGAUGGAAUUGAAGGUGUGUGUGUGUGAGGGGGGAUCCUCAAAGCUUCUAAGCUUUAAGAAGUCAUCUUCCUCCUAUGUACCAUACCAUUAUUUUCCCCUGAUGCAGCUAAGGUAGUCCACCAUGGGACUACCAGCUUUCAGUAUUAUGGGUAAUAUGCCAGGUUAAUUAUGCAGGGGGCAGGAAAAAUAGCCUGUGCCUUUCAACAAUAUCAAAGGGAUGCUACCUAAUGAUUUUCCUAUUAGCUCUUUUCCCAGCCUGCCAGAGUCACUGCAGAAGUGUCAUUUACAAAAGCAGUUUGCAACUCAUUACCCUGGAUUUUCACUGUAGUUCUGCUCCAGAGAGCAUGGGCCUUUUGCUAUGUGCCCCAACCUAAUGAAUUGCCUGGUUUGGUUAGUGCUGCCAUCCCUUCUGACAAGAGUGGUUGCUGACUGACAGGAGUGAGCCUGAGUUCAAUUCCCUUCUUGUUUUUGACUUGUGCUUGUGUCAAGCACAGGCUCCCUCUGGAAGCUGCCUUGUGAUUCCUUCUCUUUGUUUUUCUACAUUCUGCAGGAAGCAGCCUGUGCUUGGAGAAGUCCUAGAGCAAGUGGCAGGGGCAUGUGUGCCCUUUCCAGCUGGAAAAUUCCAUUGCUGUCCUGCUCUGAGCUUUUCUUUUUCUUCAUUGGUUUGGGAUUUGCUGUCACCUGAACUGGGCUUUGCAGCCCUUCAGCAAUAAAUACCUUGGAAAAGUUGCACUAAUGGUACCAAGGAAACACAUGCGGUGUGGGCUGGGGUAAGAGAACUGAUUUCCCACACCUUUGAGGGCAUCUGUGUGGGAGCUCUAAGGUCUGCUCCUGCUUGUUUGGGCUAUGCAUGGCACUUGUUAGAACAGUGCUAGAGAAAGCUCUUAUCCUGUUUAACUAGAGAGCAGUGUGCUUUUUCAGGCUGGAGGUCUAUGGCUCAUCUAAAAGCUAAGAAUAGCUCCUGGAAAGGGGAAAUUGGGGCUGUCCCUGUGUCAUGUCACAAGUACUCCCACUUUGAAGAUGAAUGUGGCUAUUGCUUAUUCAGGUGGUAGUGCAGGAAAUGUAUAGGUCCCAUGGGUGUUAGUUUUACCUGAGUGUGAACAGAGGAGCCUAGGACUCUUGCCACUGUCACUUCCAGGUGUGUUUAAACAACUCUGCUAAAUGCCAUUCCUUGAGCUUGCUGUGGAGAUGUCACAUGCCAGCCUCCUGAGGUUGCAGCUUGCAUCAAGGACUGCUCUUCCUGUUCAGUUAUGUUGUCUUUGGGCUGGGAUGUGGCAAGGGAGUUUUCCAGUGCUGGCCCUGGAUCCUGUUACUGGAUGUCAUGAGGGUUUGACCUAGCUGGCCCACAAGGGAGGCAGUGAUGUGAGAUCAGUUUGUUUCUGCUGGCUGUGAUGCCUCCUCCCCUCUUAAUUAGAUUCUUGUAGCCCCUGUUUCCUGCUGGCCUUGCUUGCUACUGAGCCCCUGUCUGGGAGAUCCAGCUGUGGCCUUAUCAGAUGCUUGCUGUGCUCUAAGGAGCUGUUUCUGUUUCCUGUUCUGGCCUAUGUUCUGAACUGAGAAAAGUUCUUGUCAGUGCUAUGAAAACUGAACAGUGUUCUCAAUGUCACUCUGCCUGUCAAACACACCAAUCUGGCUAUGCCAUAUGGGUGCUACAAUUGAAUGGAUCCAAAAGUCUUCCCAAGUGCUCUUUCACCAGAGUGCUGCCUUCUCUUUUGCACAUCAGCCCACUCCCUUGCGUGGGCACGAUGUUCAUGUCCUGCAGGUGGGAAACCAGCAUGCUCAGGGUGACUUACCCUGCUCAGAGUGGAAGCACCAAAGUGAGAAGCCAAACUAUUACCCCCUCCCUCUGCACAGAGAACUCUCGCUCUGGUCACUCUCCUUCUGCCAAACUAGUGUCCUUUUGCAGUGCAGCUUUGUCCUUUUCCUUGGGCUUGCUCUUUUCCAGGAAGCCCAGUUGAUGGAAGGAUUCCGCUGUGGGAUUAUGCUACAGAGGAGUAACAGCGAUCCAGACUAUACAUGACCCCAGGCUGCGAUCUCUGGGAUAUCCCCUGGCCUGAUCUCAGAUUGUGCCUCACUUAGGUGGUCAGAUUUUGUGGAUUGAAUUCCUGAGUCUUGUUCUGUUGAGGAGAGGCCUUCUGUCACCAGCCAGAUGGUUUAAUUCCAGUUCUGGCUUUGCAGCAGACACAGAACCAGAAGGGGGAUUGGCCCCACCUUGUUCCCAGCCUGGUACCUGUUGUGGUCACUCCUCUGGCUCCAUGUUCAAGAACCAGGACCCUGAGGGGGACCUGCAAUAAGUGAAUACUUAUUGUCCUUUAGGUUUGCAGGGUGACAGUGGACAGUCCCUUCUGAUAGGCAUCUCUUUAGGAGCUCCUGUUACAGUCCCUUCCCUUAGAAGGUAGGUGGAGCAAGUAGGGUGACCUUAACAAGUGUUGUAUUUGCCUUGCAGAGCCUCGGCAGAGGGUUGUCAUUACCUACCAGCAUCUCUGGAGGGCUCUAGCUGACUCUCAGGCAGGGCACUGAGCUGCCAGCUGCCUUUCCUGCCUCCCUCCCUCCCGGGGUCUUGAUCUUGUUCCCCAUAGGCAACAUCAUAGGCUGCUGCUCCCCAUCCAGUUAGACUCUGGGCACCAGAGGCGCUGGAGCCCAGCAGAACAUAAUUCUCGUUGUUUCACAGCCCACUACAAUGGUCAGGGUGCAAUUUGGGACUCCUGUCACGGCUGAGCUGGGCACCUGCCACUCCUUUUAAUUUCUAAGGCCUCUUUGAAGAAUGAGACCAAAGAGCCUUCAUGCAGGAGUUUGUGCUUUUGCUGCGCUCCCCACCCCCUCACAUGCUGUUUCCUUUAGAGCUCUGAGUCAUUUUGACAAUUUAUUUCAUGCACUUUACAUAGCAAGAAGCUGUAGCAACAGCUGGGUCUGUGAAUCCUUACCAGGCAGCCCUCAGUAUAUUUUGGUCUGUCUAUGUAUUGUCCCAAGCACAGUUAAAUAAAUCUGUGCAGCCAGAAGGGACUUUACGAAGGUUUGGUGAGUGAGAAUAUCAACAAGAUACUUAGUGAGCUGCUGGAUCUUAGAAUAACAGUGCCUUGGGCAUAAAGCUCUAUUCCCACUAGCACAGCUGGGGGCCAGAUCCAAUGUGGUCUCUGUUGCUGUGAGCAGGGGCUGCAUCUUGAUGUGGUGCCCAGUGAUAAAACAAUGGUUACAAGAUGAAAUUUGGACCCAAACCUGCAGAGUGGAAGUGGUUAAAACAUGUCUAGACCAAAUGCUGCUCUUGUCACACUGCUGAAAAUCUGGGUUCAGGCUGUUGAACAUGGUGGGCUUAUUUCCAGGGGUGCCAUUCAGGAUAUCAGCACAGAUGAGCUGCCUGAGGCCAUGUGCUCUUGCUGGGAGCUUGGCUGGGUUUUCAGAGACUCAUAGCUAUGCAGUGCCGGGCAGGAUUCGGUCCAUCAGAGCAUCAUAGGAUUGGGCACAAGUUUACUUUUGCAUAUGGGAUCAAAGCUUAAAAUAUCAGCUGGCCUUUCUCUCACUCCUGACUUUCCUAAAACAUGUGAACAAUUUCUUCUUUAACUCAGUUGAAAUCAAUCAAUCUGACAUUUAAAUUGUACAUGAAUUUGAUAAAUAAAGACAGGUUACAAAAUGCCA